GCGGUCGUGGCGGAAUUGGUAGACGCACUACCUUGAGGUGGUAGCGGGGAAACUCGUGAAGGUUCGAGUCCUUUCGACCGCACCA
rnacentral:tRNA from 1 species